rnacentral:lncRNA from 1 species
GGAAAAUAACAGCAACUGGAAUUAUAGUCAAAGAGUGGGGUAAUGGAGAUAUUUUCAGUGGGGAAAAAUGAUUCUGAUUGUAUUCACGGAACGAAUGAAAGGCAGAGAAACCCAGAACAUCAAUGAACUAAAGCGUAUGGCUUGAGUAGUAUGCUGCAGUCCAUCUGUCGGCCCUGUGAACUGUACCUAUGGCGCCCCCUGGAGUUUUAUCAAUACUCUACAGUGACAGCUCCACACAAGCAGACUGAAAUGUGGACAGAGAGAACAAGGAAGAAAGAAGAGAAAAAAGAAGAGUGUAAACAACCUCUUGCCAAGAUAAGCAACACUAGUCCUGCAGCAAAGAAUAUUCACAAAAUUAUGUUAUACUAAGUGUGAAAGUAGGCUUGGUCAAGAGAUUGUGCAUGAUACAAA